GCAUAUCAAUAAGCGGAGGAAAAGAAACCAACAGGGAUUGCCCUAGUAACGGCGAGUGAAGCGGCAACAGCUCAAAUUUGAAAUCUGGCGUCUUCGGCGUCCGAGUUGUAAUUUGUAGAGGAUGCUUUGGGGCAGCCACCGGUCUAAGUUCCUUGGAACAGGACGUCAUAGAGGGUGAGAAUCCCGUAUGUGACCGGCUUCGGCACCCUAUGUAAAGCUCCUUCGACGAGUCGAGUUGUUUGGGAAUGCAGCUCUAAAUGGGAGGUAAAUUUCUUCUAAAGCUAAAUACCGGCCAGAGACCGAUAGCGCACAAGUAGAGUGAUCGAAAGAUGAAAAGCACUUUGGAAAGAGAGUUAAAAAGCACGUGAAAUUGUUGAAAGGGAAGCGCUUGCAAUCAGACUUGCCCGCAGUUGUUCAGCCGGUCUUCUGACCGGCCUACUCUGCUGCGGGCAGGCCAGCAUCAGUUUCGGCGGCCGGAUAAAGGUCACGGGAAUGUGACGUCCCCUCGGGGGCGUGUUAUAGCCCGAGACAUAAUACGGCCUGCCGGGACUGAGGUCCGCGCUUCGGCUAGGAUGCUGCGUAAUGUUUGUAAGCCGCCCGUCUUGAAACACGGAC
rnacentral:rRNA from 1 species